GCACUGGACCGGCGGAGGCGUGUCACUGUGUGCUCAGAUCCGGUGCUUGGCUCAUCCCACCGCACGUGCCUACGGGGCCAGUGGCACGUCUCUCAACCAAGAAGCUGACAGCCACAUCUGCACUCGUCCCAGCUGGAGCCUUGAAGCCUUGACUCCUGACCGUCCUGACACCCCACACUAUGCACCCCAGCGCCGUAGGGACUCUCGCUGAACACCAGACUCUCUCAUCCUUCUUGUAUAUAUUUCAACCAGAGGCAUGGCUUCCUGGAAAACAGGAUUAUUGCAGAAUACCAGGAAUAUUCUGGAAACAAGAAAUUCAACUCAGUGGAUACUUCAGAGCACUUACCUCAGCCCAGACACUAUAAUAACUGCAUCAGAUGUGAGAAUGUGCACAAGUGGUAGAGAAACUGACUUUGUCCCCCUUUGUCUAUGAACUCAGAAUGAUACAGCGAAAGGGAAAGAUUAUUUUUCUUUUUUAUUCCUUCCCCUUUGGCAAUCAUCAGCUUGUUCUUUGCAUCUAAGGGUCUGUUUCUGUUUUGGUUAUUCAUUUGCUUUUUUUUUAAGAUUUCACAUAUGAGAUCAUACAGCAUUUG